CCACGGCAUGUCAGAUAUUCCCGGAUCAGGGCUCAAACCCAUGUCCCCUGCAUUGGCAGGCGGAUUCUUAACCACUGUGCCACCAGGGAAGUCCCGAAGCAUUGUUUAGUCACUUGGCCAUCAUAUCACGAGUGCCUACUAAGUGGUCACGUACAGAGAUGAAACAGACAUGUCACUCCCUCACCCUAAACUCUUCCAUGGCUCCCUGUUGCCUAGAGAACAAAGCCGAACUCCUGGGCCCAGCAUUCAAGACCCUCCAUAAUCUGGCCCAGCCUCUCUUUCCAGCCUUGAGCAUUGCCUUCCAUUGGCAUUAAACCACAUUCUUGACUCCCGUCCCCACCCUAAUGGCCAUGUGUUGGUGUUCUCUAUGCUGCUUGCCUGCAGUGCCUUCCAAGCACCUUCACCAACAAACUCCUGUUCUUUUCCAUAAGGCUGAGGUCCCCUCUAGGAAGCCUUCCCUGACUGCCCCCUCCUCCACCCCCACAGCUUUCAGGCAUCCUCCAUGACCAUUGGAGUCUUGGCUCGUCCCUCCAAAGGUGUGAAGGGCAGAGCCAUGUCAAGCCUCUCUCAGGGUCUUUCCUGAGGUUGGGCUCAGGCUCAUGGCAGGGGGACAUCCAUGUGGCUUUGCAGAGGCCUCAAGAAGUUCCCAUGAGUCCAUGCAGAGCUGAGGGCCCAGAGGGACCAGCUCUGUACCCCUCUCUCUGGGAGCAUCAGUUAGGGAUCCCUGGACCCUCGGCCACCCUGGACACCUUCUAACCCAAAGAAUCAGGCCGGGCCAGAGCAGCUUCAGCCAGCUCUGCAGGAGUGCAGGUGUACAGGCCUUCUCAGAGGACCCCACCCUGGCAUGGUGGUCAGGGCCCUCCAAGGAUGGGAGAACGCUCAGAUGUUCCUGGCAUCCUUGUCUCCGAGAAGGUGGGCAGGGAGGGACAGAGAGGGGACACAGAGGUUUGGGGUUGACUUUUUUCUCUUUCACAUUCUAGUAAGGACCCUCCAUGCAUUGGCCAGGAUGGUUGUGGGCUGUACCUCGCUGAGCCCUCCCCUCACUAAGGCUGCCCCACACCCAGCCUCUUAAUGCAGCAAGCUCUACACCAGGCAGGAUCCACCAGCCAGAAAUAACAGGAGCAUCCUCGAGGAUGUGUUUAGAGAUGUUUUUGUCCGGAGGCUGGGGAAGAAGAUGAGGACCCAUUCCUUUAUUGGGGGGCAGCAAGUGGCGCAGCAGGAGCACAAGGCAGGUUUGCUAUCAGUUAUUUAAUGAACCUUCCUGGCUGGCCAGGCACAGGCGAGCAAGGCAGUAGCUUUUCCAGCAGCUCUGGGGUGGGGGAAUGAUUCCCCCUUGCUGCUGUAUCAAUAUUCAGCUUCUUGUUUACAUGUUCA